CAGGAUUACACAGUUUACAUGUCAGGCUUACAAAGCCCCUUCACUGGCCGAUGUGAAGUUUAAAGGAAAUGCUGUAUGUGUGAGCGGUUUGCAAACUGGAAAGCUCAUGAAGACAUGAGUCACCUCCCCUAAGUGUCCCCAGCAGUGCUUUGCAGAGCAGAGGCCCCAGCUCCAAAACAACAGAACACAAAGUACUUUAACCUUUGCAUGUGGCAAGACCUCCGUGAAAAAUUGUUUCUCAGCCCAUAUGAUGGGAAAAGGGUGCUAUUUUUGUGACUACCUGUAACAUAUGUAAUUACGAUGCAGGUGGAGAUGAGAUUAUUCUGGAGUAGGGUGGACCCUCAAUUCAAUACGACUGGUGUCCUUAUAAGAAGAGGGGAAAGGAACAGAGACAGAGACUGUCAUCCACAAGGAGACCACCGUGUGAAGACACAGACGCAUAGGGAAGGGCCAUGUGAAGACGACAGCAGUGACGGGAGUGGGGCAGCUACAAGCCAAGGAAUGUGGAGGAGUGCCGGCCACCACCAGAAGCUGAGAAGAGGCAAGGAAGGACCCUUCCCCACAGCCUUUAGGAGGAACAUGGCCCUGCCGAAACCUUGAUGUCACACCUCUAGCCUCCAGAACAACGAUGCAAUCAAUUUCUGUUGUUUUCAGCCACUCAGUAAAGUACCCGCUUGGCUAGGGCAGCCCUAGGGAGCGAGUAUAGCUCUCGUGGCCAAAUGGAAUGAAGCGAAGCCUCCAUGUCAGCAUUGGGCUUGCAGCUGCUGAGCCCCCGAUGGUGGCCCCUCUUCCCGGCUCUCUCUCAGGGGCAGGGGUGGGGUGGAGAUAUUAAACUAUUUCCAACGGAAACCAACACUUGAAAGGUUAUGAAGGCCCCUAAACCUCCUGCUCUUCCAUGGUGAUGGCUGAUAGCUAAAGCCACACUGCCACUACCCUAAGCCCAAGCUUGAUCACCUGGAAAUGGGGACUGAGAGAGGACGAGAACGGCACAGCCUUUGAGCUCUCACGGGGUGGCGUAAAUUUACGGUCAGUAUGCCUCCAGAUCAGAGGUCCUGCUGUUAGAGAGUUUUCUUUUUUUGCUUUAAUGGUACACAGGAAUUCUCCCCCAGCCCCCUCAAAACACUCACACAUCUUUUUAAAAUUUGCACCUUUUUUUCAGUCUGGUUUCCUAUGGUGAAGGGGAGGCUAUGAAAUGCCCAAUAAAUCAUCUGUCUGUCUUCACUCAAUUGAAAGGCAGGAAAUGCAGAGAACAGUCACGUUACCUUUCCACUUUGCAUAUAACAAGAGCUAUCAGGACCUGUUCCUUUGAAGGGGAGGCCCUUCUGACAGCAAUAUUAAAUUUUCAAGGCCACUGGAGUUUGUUUCUUGGGACCAGACCCAAAGUGGGCAGGCAUGUGGGAUGUUGGCUGUUUCCCCUACCAGCCCCUUCUAGGAGUAACUUCUUGGGCUUGCCCUGGGAAAUCUACUCAGUCAGCAAUGAUUUAGGGGCUCCAUGUGCACAGCACCAUUGUAAGUCUAUGUGGAUUAAAGGAAUUCUAUUCUUGAGUCCUAAUUUUUAACAAAUUUACAUCUACAGACAGUCCUAGACUUAUAAUGAUUCAACUAAAUGAUUUCUUGACUUUAUGAUGGUGUGAAGCUUCCAAUUUUAACACAGUGUAUGGUAUUCAAUAAACAUGAGAUAUUCACUACUUUAUUAUAAAGUAGGCUUUGUGUUAGAUGAUUUUGCCCAUUGUAGGUUAAAGUAAGUGCUCUGAGCAUGUGUACGGUAGGCGAGGCUAAGCUAUGGAGGUUUGGUAGGUUGGGUGAAUUAAAUGCAUUUUCAACUCACAAUAUUUUCAACUUUCGAUGGGUUUAUUGGAACUUAACCUUAUUGUGAGUGGAGAUUCAUCUGUAGUUGGUGCAACAGCUAACCAUGUACAUAAAAUAAUGACCCCAUACAAGGGAGUUUAUAAAAAGUGUUCUCCUGAAAGUGUAGAAAGGAGCCGAAGAUGCUUCCAGGUGGCCAGCCAAAGCUUCUUGGAAGAGGUGAAGGCUCUGAGCUGAGGCUUGAAGGCUAGGUAGGGCUGGGGAACACAGGAAGGAGAAACGGCAGUGCUUCAAUGCCAGGGACUCCUGAGGACGCCAUGGAAUGGGGUGUGAGGAGGCUUAUUCAGGAACACUGAGAAACUCAGGGUGUGUGGAGAAGGUGGGAUGGGUUGGUAUGAAACAAGGCAGGAAGGGUAUGCAGGCGCCAUCCUCUGGGAUGCUUCGUGGAUGACAGAUUAAAAUUGUGCUUGCAGUUGGCGUGACCAGCCCUCCCUGGAAGAUGGCCUCCACUUGGUCUUGCAUUCAAAGAAACAUAUGUAACUGCAAACACUUUCAGGCCUAAUGUGAUCUCCAUGAUAGGGUUUCCUGAGAGGCCAUGCAGGGGUUUCCUGCAGUGCAUUUUCCAGUGAACCUUUCUUCAAACCUUCUGGGACAUUUGGUCCUCAGGUUUCACACUCUUAAAAGACUCCUCAGUCUUGUUCUUCCUCCCUUUCUCUUUCUAGCCACCUCCUUUUCUCAGGCUGCUCUCUCCCCAUCCCCCAGGGGUCUCCUCACUCGUCCUCUGAGUAGCCUGGGCUGAACUCCACCUGAUGGCUUUAGGCGCCAUCUGGGAGCGAUCUGCAGGGAGGAAGGGCACGCUGAGGACGCUUCAGACAAGGAGAGCAGCUGGAGGCUGUUGGUUCCAGGGAGGGGCCUGAGCAAGGCCUUGGGAAGGAAGAGAGUCCCAAAGUAGGAUAGGAAAGUCCAACAGGCAUCAGGGUGCCCAAGGAUGGCUCUGGUUUGGGUGGGUUUUCACGUUUGAGGUCUGUCCCCCUUGCCUGACUGUGGGGCCAUGUGUUGUUCCCU